rnacentral:rRNA from 1 species
UACGGAGGAUGCGAGCGUUAUCCGGAUUUAUUGGGUUUAAAGGGCGUGUAGGCGGGACUGCAAGUCAGAUGUGAAAAUUAUGGGCUCAACCCAUAACCUGCAUUUGAAACUGUAGUUCUUGAGUGAUGGAGAGGCAGGCGGAAUUCCGUGUGUAGCGGUGAAAUGCAUAGAUAUCACGCAGAACUCCGAUUGCGAAGGCAGCAUACCGGCGCCCUACUGACGCUGAGGCACGAAAGCGUGGGUAUCGAACAGG